AUGCGAUACGUAAUGUGAAUUGCAGAAUUUUGUGAAUCAUCGAAUCUUUGAACGCAUAUUGCACUCUCUGGUAUUCCGGAGAGUACGCCUGUUUCAGUAUCAAAAAUGUCAUCCAAAGUUUUGGUUUUUUUUUUGCUAAAUCUUAUGGGAUUUGGGUUUUGCAGAACUUUUCUGCUGGCCUUAAAUAAUUUAGCCACAAAAAAUCUAGGCGAUAAGGCGUAAUAGUUGGUACUUUCGGGUCCAUUUAUCCGCUAAAGCCUGUCUUUUUAAUCUCUGGCUCAAUAAUAUGGAAAAAUGAAAUAUAUGUAUAUAUGUUUCACCAUUGUUUAGAUCUGAAAUCAGGUGGGACUACCCGCUGAACUUAA
rnacentral:misc_RNA from 1 species